rnacentral:tRNA from 1 species
AUUUCUGUGGUGCAGUGGUUAGCACAGUCGCCUCGUACGCGACAGACUCGGGUUCAAUCCCCGACGGAUACU